CGGUAGGUGAGCUCACCUGCGGUUACUCCAACGCGCCUUAAAUCGACGGCAAUUUCAGCAAGGCCGAACACUCUCAGAUUUCGCCUUCCUUCCGGCUUUCCUGCGCGCUUGACUUUCCAGUUUCCAAGAUCGGAGCCCCGUUCUACUCUGGGUUUUCUUAGUUACAACUUACAAGUCUGGUAGCAUCAUCGCAAGCGCUCUUAAAAAACACAAAAUGUCGUGCUUUGGAUGUUGCGAAGAGAAUGAUAAUAAUCGAACUGCUGCCAGUGGUGGUCCUUAUGUUGCAAGCCAUUCCGCUGGAAAUGAUGGAGCCUAUCUUUCUGCCAAUACUCCUUCUAAGGGUGCCCAAACUGUUAAACCGCAACCUAUUGCAGUCCCAGCUAUUCCUGUUGACGAGAUAAGGGAGAUCACAAAAAAUUUUGGUGAUGAAGCUUUGAUUGGGGAGGGUUCAUUUGGUAGAGUGUAUUUUGGUGUCCUAAAGAAUGAGAGAAGCACAGCUGUAAAAAAAUUAGAUUCAAGCAAGCAGCCAGACCAAGAGUUUUUGGCACAGGUUUCCAUGGUGUCACGGCUGAAGCAUGAGAAUGUCGUGGAGUUGGUUGGUUACAGUGUUGAAGGAAAUCUCCGUCUGUUAGCAUAUGAGUUUGCUACAAUGGGGUCUCUCCAUGACAUUCUUCAUGGACGAAAAGGAGUUAAAGGAGCACAACCAGGACCAGUGUUGUCAUGGCUCCAAAGAGUUAAAAUUGCUGUCGGAGCAGCAAAAGGAUUGGAAUACCUGCAUGAGAAAGCCCAGCCUCAUAUCAUUCAUCGUGAUAUAAAGUCAAGUAAUGUUUUACUCUUUGAUGAUGAUGUUGCAAAAAUAGCUGAUUUUGACCUAUCAAAUCAAGCUCCUGACAUGGCUGCUAGACUUCAUUCUACCAGAGUUCUGGGAACUUUUGGAUAUCAUGCACCAGAGUAUGCAAUGACUGGUCAACUUAGCUCUAAAAGUGACGUGUACAGUUUUGGUGUUGUUCUAUUAGAGCUCUUGACUGGUCGUAAACCUGUGGAUCAUACAUUACCGAGAGGACAACAAAGUCUUGUCACUUGGGCAACACCAAGGCUCAGCGAAGACAAAGUAAGGCAAUGCAUUGACUCAAGGCUAAAUGGAGAGUAUCCACCCAAAGCAGUUGCCAAGUUUGCUGCGGUGGCUGCAUUGUGCGUGCAAUACGAAGCUGAUUUUCGGCCAAACAUGAGCAUUGUCGUUAAAGCUUUACAACCGCUGCUGAAUACUCGGUCUGGCCACCCCGGUGAAGGCCCCGGAAUGUGAACCCUGAUAUGAUUCAUUGGCUCAGAUUAUGUGUGCAGAGUUAAGUGCAGUCCUAACCUGUAGAUUAUAUAUAUCACCAUUGGUUUCAAAUGAUCAAUUAUUUCAAACCUCUGCCCUCUAGCUUUGAAUAUCCUUUGAAUUCAAACGUGCACCUCUAAGUUUGAUCUCGAUUUGCCACAAUAUGGGAAGGAUUGUUUCACAACUUGUAUCUUGCUUUCUUUGUUCUGAAUGCAUUUGUAAAAUGCGAUUCGAUUUUGAAGAGAUUAGGAAUUGGUGGAUAACAAACUCAUGGAUUUCUUCAUUCCAAAUGUUAAUCGCAACAGACAAAAAUAUAAUUCGUAAGGCACCAUGCUACUACUCUUAUUAACGGUACAAUUUAAUGUUAAUCCCAAACGUGUAAAUAUGAGUACUAUGCAUAUUUUCAACUUUUACCAUUUAAACGACUACAAAACACACAUUCCUAAAACAAUCUUAAAUCUAUCACUCGCAAGAUAACAACUUUGAAAAAACAAAAAAUGAACACAGGCAAAGUAGAUGCCCUCUAAAGUCUAAUCAACAUAUCAUUAAAAUGAAAUUAAUAUAUGUUGAGCAUCAUCUGAACUUUAGUUGUCCCUCCUAUCAUUUAUCUGCUUGUCUCUUGUUCCUUUGGAUUUAGAAUCAGGAUUGGGAUUUAUCAAAAUCUUCCAGUUUUGUUUCAGUAUCUCCUUUCGCAACUUGAUUGCGCAGUCUUUGGUCCUGUAAAAUGAAUUUGUUAGAUAUGAAGUAUCUACAACGGCAUGCACAGUCCAAGAUCACAAAGGUUCCAGCAUUUGAACAACCUGCCCCAUUGUUGGUCUCUUCUCUGAAUCAAGUUCAACACACCUCAAUGCUACUAAAAGGGCUUUUUUCAGAGCCUUAGAAGUUGGCCUAGUCACUAUGGUUGGAUCUCCCACUUCUUCAGAACGGCGGUUGGCAAUCAUCCAUUUAAGCCAGUCAACAAGAUGUACCUGCAAUCAUAACAGGAAAAUAUAUUAGUCAGAUGUGGAAGGUUCACGAAUUUGCUGAACUAACAUUUUUUUUUUUUUUGCAUAAAAUACAUAGCAACUCAUAUUAUGUUCAACUCUUUCGCAAUUAUCAUAUCAAUACAGGCGACAGAUAUUAACAAUCAAA